rnacentral:rRNA from 1 species
AUGGUAGCAGUCCUGCCCAAGCGCCUCAACGAGAUGCUGAAGCAUGAGAGGUUGUUCACAUUUGCUGGUUUCAGCAUUGAAAGCGACAAAGAGAAGAUGAUGAUGUCUGGCCUUCCGACGAUCAACCCCAACAAGUACAUCGACAUUCAGCGCUUUUGGAGAGUUCCAUACACCGGAAAAGAGUACGACUCCUUGAUUGAUGUUGAAGCCAGCGUCAUCCACCCAUUCUACAAAGGCAUGAAGAAGAACAUCGACACGCUGGAAGACCACAAACUGUGGGGGAUCAGCCCGCUGCCAGACAACCUCAUCGAGUACGCAGGAGUAGAUGCGUACGCCGCGUACAAGUCAUGGAACAUGAUCGACAACAUCACAAAUGGUUGGGAAAUUGCAAAAGCGCGGGAGGAUGACCACUACUACGACCACCCCUUCUGCCCCUUUUAG